ACUGCCUCCAGAGGCAAUGCAGGUGUGUUUGGUAUGUCACAUGGGUUUCAAUAAGUGAAAGACAGGAGAGAGGUUUUGUCUACAUUCACUGUUCUGAGAUAUGAACUUCUGAAUGAUUAGCAGCCUAACAUU